AUUGAACGCUGGCGGCAGGCCUAACACAUGCAAGUCGAACGGUAACAGGAAGAAGCUUGCUUCUUUGCUGACGAGUGGCGGACGGGUGAGUAAUGUCUGGGAAACUGCCUGAUGGAGGGGGAUAACUACUGGAAACGGUAGCUAAUACCGCAUAACGUCGCAAGACCAAAAAGGGGGACCUUCGGGCCUCUUGCCCUCGGAUGUGCCCAGAUGGGAUUAGCUAGUAGGUGGGGUAACGGCUCCCCCAGGCGACGAUCCCUAGCUGGUCUGAGAGGAUGACCAGCCACACUGGAACUGAGACACGGUCCAGACUCCUACGGGAGGCAGCAGUGGGGAAUAUUGCACAAUGGGCGCAAGCCUGAUGCAGCCAUGCCGCGUGUAUGAAGAAGGCCUUCGGGUUGUAAAGUACUUUCGGCGGGGAGGAAGGGAGUAAAGUUAAUACCUUUGCUCAUUGACGUUACCCGAAGAAGAAGCACCGGCUAACUCCGUG
rnacentral:rRNA from 1 species